rnacentral:tRNA from 1 species
UUUAUAGCUUUGUUUGUAGAGUGCUUGCCUUGUAUGUAUAGGGCCCUGGGUUCAAUUCCCAGUAAA